rnacentral:rRNA from 1 species
GAUCAUGGCUCAGAUUGAACGCUGGCGGCAGGCUUAACACAUGCAAGUCGAACGGUAACAUAAAGAAGCUUGCUUCUUUGAUGACGAGUGGCGGACGGGUGAGUAAUGCUUGGGAAUCUGGCUUAUGGAGGGGGAUAACUACGGGAAACUGUAGCUAAUACCGCGUAAUAUCGAAAGAUUAAAGUGUGGGACCUUCGGGCCACAUGCCAUAGGAUGAGCCCAAGUGGGAUUAGGUAGUUGGUGAAGGG